rnacentral:lncRNA from 1 species
CCAGGACAGGCAGUAGGCGUCAGGGGGCGCCCUAAGGCUCCACGGCAUGUGCCUGUAUUGCUGGGACAUCGAGCCUUCCCAAGUCAACCCUGAGGUGGAGUGGAAAUUACAGAAGUAGGGAGCAGGAUAAAGUUCUCAAUUGCCAGAUGUGGAACAGAUUGCUCUUGGGUCUUCUGGUUAAAAGAUUGGAUCAAAACGAGUGAAGGAGGAGUUAUUUAAGGAAGGACCAAGACAACAUCAUCCUUCAGAGGUCACUGAGCGGCAGCUUGCAAAUAAACGUAUUCAGAAUAUGCAACACCUAAAGAAAGAGAAGAGGAGACUGAAUAAAAGGUUUUCAAGGCCUUCUCCUAUUCCAGAACCAGGACUCCUACUAUGUCUUCCAUUAUGAUGUUGAACAGAAGUGAGAAGUGGUCAUCUUGAUAAAGCAGGAGUCUAUUUGAAGGAAACCAUGCUCCAGACAGAAAUAUGUGGAUUGUGAACAUCAAGUGACAUAUCAUGAAUUGAUCAUCCACAAAAUAAAUGCAAUACUCCACCAUUUCGGAAAAAUAAACACAGUGCAAGUAUUUAAUAUCCAAGCUACAGGCUCUAGAAUUUUAUUAAAUGCCA